rnacentral:rRNA from 1 species
GUGCCAGCAGCCGCGGUAAUACGUAGGGGGCAAGCGUUGUCCGGAAUCAUUGGGCGUAAAGCGCGUGUAGGCGGCCUUGUAAGUCCGUUCUGAAAGCCCGGGGCUCAACCCCGGGAGGCGGAUGGAUACUGCAAGGCUCGAGUACGGAAGAGGCGAGUGGAAUUCCCGGUGUAGCGGUGAAAUGCGCAGAUAUCGGGAGGAACACCAAUGGCGAAGGCAGCUCGCUGGGACGUUACUGACGCUGAGACGCGAAAGCGUGGGGAGCAAACAGGAUUAGAAACCCUGGUAGUCC